rnacentral:rRNA from 1 species
AGCGAACGCUGGCGGCAGGCUUAACACAUGCAAGUCGAGCGGGCAUCCUUGUGGUGUCAGCGGCAGACGGGUGAGUAACGCGUGGGAACGUGCCCUUCGGUUCGGAAUAACUCAGGGAAACUUGAGCUAAUACCGGAUACGUGCGAGAGCAGAAAGGUUUAUCUGCCGAAGGAUCGGCCCGCGUCUGAUUAGCUAGUUGGUGAGGUUAUGGCUCACCAAGGCGACGAUCAGUAGCUGGUCUGAGAGGAUGAUCAGCCACACUGGGACUGAGACACGGCCCAGACUCCUACGGAAGGCAGCAGUGGGGAAUAUUGGACAAUGGGGGCAACCCUGAUCCAGCCAUGCCGCGUGAGUGAUGACGGCCUUAGGGUUGUAAAGCUCUUUUCUCCGGGACGAUAAUGACGGUACCGGAGGAAUAAGCCCCGGCUAACUUCGUG